UCUUAAGGAGAAGCUGAGAAACAAGCAGUAAAGUGGCUUUGGUCUGGAAAAUCCCUCAUCUCUCUGAUCUUCAUCAAACUAUUCACGAUGGGCGAUUGGCUCCGAGUCCUGUCCGCUUUGCUCCUGUGUUUACAUGGCACAACCGCAGCUGUUACCCUGACUCAGCCAUCGUCCAUCUCAUCCUCCCCGGGAAACACCGUCAAGAUCACCUGUACCAUGUCCGGAGGCAGCAUCGGCAGCUACCACACCAGCUGGUACCAGCAGAAGCUUGACGGCGCCCCUGUGCUUCUCUGGUCAAGUUACAACGGCAAACCUCAGGGGAUUCCUGAUCGAUUCUCUGGUUCUGCGGACUCAGGGAACAACGCCGUGCAUUUAACCAUCAGCGGUGUGCAAGCUGAGGACGCCGCCGAUUACUCCUGUGGUGCCGGGCAUAAGAGCAGUCCGUAUCACUUCUUUUUCGGUAAAGGGAGUGAACUGAGUUUGAAAAAACCACAGGGCCCUUCGGUGACUGUCCUUCCGCCUUCACCAGAUCAAAUCACAGCAAAGAGCAAGGCGACCCUGGUGUGUCUGGUGAAUGAUUUUAUCCCGGGAGCUGUGGAGGUCGAGUGGACUGUGGAUGGCAGUGCCAGAAGUCAAGGUGUUGAAACGAGUGCGAUCAAACAGCAGGCGGACAACACGUACAGUGUGAGCAGUUAUCUGACUCUGCCAACCUCCGAGUGGGAGUCACACGACCUGUAUUCCUGUGUGGUCAAACACCAGACUCUGGCCACUCCGCUCGAAAAAAGCAUCGCCAGAUCCAGUUGUAGAGAAGCUGAGAAACAAGCAGUAAAGUGGCUUUGGUCUGGAAAAUCCCUCAUCUCUCUGAUCUUCAUCAAACUAUUCACGAUGGGCGAUUGGCUCCGAGUCCUGUCCGCUUUGCUCCUGUGUUUACAUGGCACAACCGCAGCUGUUACCCUGACUCAGCCAUCGUCCAUCUCAUCCUCCCCGGGAAACACCGUCAAGAUCACCUGUACCAUGUCCGGAGGCAGCAUCGGCAGCUACUACACCAGCUGGUACCAGCAGAAGCCUGACGGCGCCCCUGUGCUUCUCUGGUCAAGUAACAACGGCAAACCUCAGGGGAUUCCUGAUCGAUUCUCUGGUUCUGUGGACUCAGGGAACAACGCCGUGCAUUUAACCAUCAGCGGUGUGCAAGCUGAGGACGCCGCCGAUUACUCCUGUGGUGCCUGGGAUAGCAGCAGUCCGUAUCACUUCUUUUUCGGUAAAGGGAGUGAACUGAGUUUGAAAAAACCACAGGGCCCUUCGGUGACUGUCCUUCCGCCUUCACCAGAUCAAAUCACAGCAAAGAGCAAGGCGACCCUGGUGUGUCUGGUGAAUGAUUUUAUUCCGGGAGCUGUGGAGGUCGAGUGGACUGUGGAUGGCAGUGCCAGAAGUCAAGGUGUUGAAACGAGUGCGAUCAAACAGCAGGCGGACAACACGUACAGUGUGAGCAGUUAUCUGACUCUGCCAACCUCCGAGUGGGAGUCACACGACCUGUAUUCCUGUGUGGUCAAACACCAGACUCUGGCCACUCCGCUCGAAAAAAGCAUCGCCAGAUCCAGUUGUACCUAAACCAGGAAUGUGCACCGAUAAUCGAAUGUACUAUUGUCAAUCUACCUUUAAUAAUAAUAAUUGUGUUUUGUAAUAUGUUGUCGAUUAUGUUCAUUUUGUCAUAAAUUUCGCAAAGAGAUAACAAUCCAUACACAGUUUGUACCGUUUGCUGGAAACUUUAGAUUGAAUUAUAUGUGUUCUCCUUGUGUCGUAUUACAGAAAUAUCGAUCAAUAAUAAACUGUCUCUGCAUUGGC